CAGUCGCCGCGGUAAUACGAAGGGGGCUAGCGUUGCUCGGAAUUACUGGGCGUAAAGCGUGCGUAGGCGGUGAGUUAAGUCUGCUGUGAAAUCCCCGGGCUCAACCUGGGAAUGGCAGUGGAUACUGGCUCGCUAGAGUGUGUCAGAGGAUGGUGGAAUUCCCGGUGUAGCGGUGAAAUGCGUAGAGAUCGGGAGGAACAUCAGUGGCGAAGGCGGCCAUCUGGGACAACACUGACGCUGAGGCACGAAAGCGUGGGGAGCAAACAGGAUUAGAUACCCCAGUAGUCCCUGUCUCUUAUAC
rnacentral:rRNA from 1 species